AGUGAACGCUGGCGGUAGGCCUAACACAUGCAAGUCGAACGGCAGCACAGUAAGAGCUUGCUCUUACGGGUGGCGAGUGGCGGACGGGUGAGGAAUACAUCGGAAUCUACUUUUUCGUGGGGGAUAACGUAGGGAAACUUACGCUAAUACCGCAUACGACCUACGGGUGAAAGCAGGGGAUCUUCGGACCUUGCGCGAUUGAAUGAGCCGAUGUCGGAUUAGCUAGUUGGCGGGGUAAAGGCCCACCAAGGCGACGAUCCGUAGCUGGUCUGAGAGGAUGAUCAGCCACACUGGAACUGAGACACGGUCCAGACUCCUACGAGAGGCAGCAGUGGGGAAUAUUGGACAAUGGGCGCAAGCCUGAUCCAGCCAUACCGCGUGGGUGAAGAAGGCCUUCGGGUUGUAAAGCCCUUUUGUUGGGAAAGAAAAGCAGCAGGUUAAUACCCCGCUGUUCUGACGGUACCCAAAGAAUAAGCACCGGCCAACUUCGUG
rnacentral:rRNA from 1 species